rnacentral:tRNA from 1 species
GGGUUGUAGCUCAGUGUUAGAGUGCUUGCCUAGCAUGCACAAGGCCUUUGGUUUGAUCCCAGAAAUGCG